rnacentral:tRNA from 1 species
GCGGGUGUAGCUCAGUCGGUUAGAGUGCCGGCCUGUCACGCCGGAGGUCGCGGGUUCGAGC